rnacentral:rRNA from 1 species
GACGAACCGUCCAAACGUUAUUCGGAAUCACUGGGCUUAAAGGGUGCGUAGGCGGUCCGGUAAGUUGGGUGUGAAAUACCUCGGCCUAACCGAGGAAUGGCGCCCAAAACUGUCGGACUCGAGGAAGACAGAGGUGAACGGAACUUAGGGUGGAGCGGUGAAAUGCGUUGAUAUCCUAAGGAACACCAGUAGCGAAAGCGGUUCACUGGGUCUUUUCUGACGCUGAUGCACGAAAGCCAGGGGAGCGAACGGG